rnacentral:lncRNA from 1 species
CGCCAUUCUCCUGCCUCAGUCUCCCGAGUAGUUAGGACUACGGGCGCCCCCACCAUGCCUAGCUAAAUUUUUUUGGUAUUUUUAGUAAAGACGGGGUUUUACCGUGUUAGCCAGGAUGGUCUCGAUCUCCUGACCUCGUAAUCCGCUCACCUUGGCCUCCCAAAGUGCUGGUAUUACAGGAGUGAGCCACUGCGCCUGGCCAGCGUUCCUAUUAUUAUUGCUCUUCUGGAAUGAGAGCAGGCAGCUGCCGGGAUCCCAGCCGGAAGGGGCGGGCGAAAGGCAGGGUUGCUGGGGGCGGGCGAAAGGCAGGGUUGCUGGAGGCGCGCGUAGGUUCGAGUAGGGACUGGAAUGCGGGCCAACAGUGUGGGGGUUAUUAGGGGGGAGGGUAGGCAGGUCGGAGGAGGGAGUUGGGAGGAAAGCGGCGGCGGUGGCGGCUUCAACAGCAGCUCUUGCCCUUAAGGAACAAUGAAACACAAAGAUGGUGCAGACCCAGGCCCUGCUUUGACUGGGAGAAAGAUGCAUUCAGUUGACUAAAACUUGAACCACAGCAUGUUCCGAAGAGAUGAUUGGAAGAUGGAAGUGGAGGGUUAAAUAAUGAAAUGCAGCUAACAUUUCGGAAAGUUUCUAAAAGUUGUACAACAUGCCCUACAGCUACUCUUUAAAUCUCCAAAUCAAAUGAGUUUCAGGUGGAGCCUCUGGGAGGUGAUGAGGUCAUGAGAGUGGAGCCUCAUGAAUGGGAUGAGCACUCCUACAAAAAGGAUUCCAGAGAGCUCGCUUGCUCCUUCCACAGUGUGAGGACACAGAGGGAAGGCUCUGUCUAUGAAUGAGAAAGUGGGUCCCCACCAGACAUUGAAUCUGCCGCAUCUUGAUACUGGACUUCCAGUCUCCAGAACUGUGGGCAAUAAAUGUCUGUUGUUUAUUACCUGUCCAGUAUCUUUGGUAUUUUGCUAUAGCAACCCAAAUGGACUAAGAAAACACCAGAGGCCAUACCUAAUAAAAAUAUUGACAUCAC